rnacentral:rRNA from 1 species
AUUGAACGCUGGCGGAAUGCUUUACACAUGCAAGUCGAGCGGCAGCGCGGGGCAACCUGGCGGCGAGCGGCGAACGGGUGAGUAAUGCAUCGGAACAUGUCCAUGUCGUGGGGGAUAGCCCGGCGAAAGCCGGAUUAAUACCGCAUACGCUCGAGAGAGGAAAGUGGGGGACCGCAAGGCCUCACGCGAUUGGGUUGGCCGAUGUCCGAUUAGCUUGUUGGUGAGGUAAAGGCUUACCAAGGCGAUGAUCGGUAGCUGGUCUGAGAGGAUGAUCAGCCACACUGGGACUGAGACACGGCCCAGACUCCUACGGGAGGCAG